rnacentral:rRNA from 1 species
UACGUAGGGACCGAGCGUUGUCCGGAAUCAUUGGGCGUAAAGAGCGUGUAGGCGGCCACUUAAGUCUUGCGUGAAAUCUUGCGGCUCAACCGCAAGCGGUCGUGGGAAACUGGGUGGCUAGAGUGCGGGAGAGGAGAGUGGAAUCCUGGUGUAGCGGUGGAAUGCGCAGAUAUCAGGAAGAACACCCGUGGCGAAGGCGGCUCUCUGGAACGCAACUGACGCUGAGACGCGAAAGCGUGGGGAGCAAACAGG